rnacentral:rRNA from 1 species
CAUGCAAGUCGAACGGAAAGGCCCUUUCGGGGGUACACGAGUGGCGAACGGGUGAGUAACACGUGGGUGAUCUGCCCUGCACUUUGGGAUAAGCCUGGGAAACUGGGUCUAAUACCGGAUAGGACUACGCGAUGCAUGUCGUGUGGUGGAAAGCUUUUGCGGUGUGGGAUGGGCCCGCGGCCUAUCAGCUUGUUGGUGGGGUGAUGGCCUACCAAGGCGACGACGGGUAGCCGGCCUGAGAGGGUGUCCGGCCACACUGGGACUGAGAUACGGCCCAGACUCCUACGGGAGGCAGCAGUGGGGAAUAUUGCACAAUGGGCGCAAGCCCGAUGCAGCGACGCCGCGUGAGGGAUGACGGCCUUCGGGUUGUAAACCUCUUUCAACGCCGACGAAGCGGGAGUGACGGUAGGCGUAGAAGAAGCACCGGCCAACUACGUGCCAGCAGCCGCGGUAAUACGUAGGGUGCGAGCGUUGUCCGGAAUUACUGGGCGUAAAGAGCUCGUAGGUGGUUUGUCGCGUUGUUCGUGAAAACUCACA